rnacentral:rRNA from 1 species
UGGGGAAUCUUCCGCAAUGGGCGAAAGCCUGAUGGAGCAACGCCGCGUGAGUGAAGAAGGUUUUCGGAUCGUAAAACUCUGUUGUUAGAGAAGAACGUGUGUGAGAGUAACUGUUCAUGCAGUGACGGUAUCUAACCAGAAAGCCCCGGCUAACUCCGUGCCAGCAGCCGCGGUAAUACGUAGGGAGCAAGCGUUGUCCGGAUUUACUGGGUGUAAAGGGUGCGUAGGCGGCUCUGCAAGUCAGGUGUGAAAACUAUGGGCUUAACCCAUAGACUGCAUUUGAAACUGUGGAGCUUGAGUGAAGUAGAGGCAGGCGGAAUUCCCGGUGUAGCGGUGAAAUGCGUAGAGAUCGGGAGGAACACCAGUGGCGAAGGCGGCCUGCUGGGCUUUAACUGACGCUGAGGCACGAAAGCAUGGGUAGCAAACAGGAUUAGAUACCCUGGUAGUCCAUGCCGUAAACGAUGAUUACUAGGUGUGGGGGGUCUGACCCCUUCCGUGCCGGAGUUAACACAAUAAGUAAUCCACCUGGGAAGUACGACCGCAAGGUUG